ACUGAAACAUCUAAGUACCCGGAGGAGAAGAAAACAAAAGUGAUUCCGCUAGUAGCGGCGAGCGAACGCGGAUUAGCCCAAACCACAGUUGUUACGGCAAUUGUGGGGUUGUAGGACCACGUCAUUCGAUGCUAAACGAACUAGAAUCUACUGGAAAGUAGGACCAAAGAGGGUGAUAGUCCCGUAUAGGUAAGUUGAGUUAUUGAUAGUGGUAUCCUGAGUAGUGCGGGGCACGUGAAACCCUGCAUGAAUUUGCCGGGACCAUCCGGUAAGGCUAAAUACUCCUGAGAGACCGAUAGUGAACUAGUACCGUGAGGGAAAGGUGAAAAGAACCCUGAAUAAGGGAGUGAAAUAGAUCCUGAAACCAUACGCUUACAAGCGGUCGGAGCAGACAUGAUCUGUGACGGCGUGCCUUUUGCAUAAUGAGCCUACGAGUUACCGUUGCUAGCAAGGUUAAUCGAUUCAGUCGAGGAUCCGUAGCGAAAGCGAGUCUGAAUAGGGCGUAUAGUUAGUAGUGGUAGACGCGAAACCGUGUGAUCUACCCAUGAGCAGGUUGAAGCUUUGUUAACCCAAAGUGGAGGACCGAACCCGUUGACGUUGAAAAGUCUUGGGAUGACUUGUGGGUAGGGGUGAAAGGCCAAUCAAACUCGGAAAUAGCUCGUACUCCCCGAAAUGCAUUUAGGCGCAGCGUAUUAUUAGUUUUAUAGAGGUAGAGCUACUGAUUGGAUGCGGGG
rnacentral:rRNA from 1 species